AGGCUAUGAUGAGAAAAGCCAUGCACUACACUGAAGAGAUCCAUCUCUCUAUGCUGACAAACAAACUUACAACGCAUUUUAUAUCUCAGCCU
rfam:Hordeum vulgare subsp. vulgare, WGS project CAJW01000000 data, contig: morex_contig_2569227